rnacentral:rRNA from 1 species
GACGAACGCUGGCGGCGUGCUUAACACAUGCAAGUCGAACGGAAAGGCCCUGCUUGCAGGGUACUCGAGUGGCGAACGGGUGAGUAACACGUGGGUGAUCUGCCCUGCACUUCGGGAUAAGCUUGGGAAACUGUGUCUAAUACCGGAUAGGAACCAUCUUUAGUGUGGUGGUUGGAAAGUUUUUUCGGUGUUGGAUGAGCUCGCGGCCCAUCAGCUUGUUGGUGGGGUAAUGGCCUACCAAGGCGGAGACGGGUAGCCGGCCUGAGAGGGUGGACGGCCAGAUUGGGAAGGAGAUACGGCCCAGACUCGUAAGGGGGGCAGAAAGGGGGAAUAUAGAACAAAGGGAGCAAGCCUGAUGCAGCGACGACGCGUGGGGGAUGAAGGCCUUCGGGUUGUAAACAACUGUCGCUAGGGACGAAGCUUUGUUGUGACGGUACCUAGAUAAGAAGCACCGGCUAACUACGUG